GAGUUUGAUCAUGGCUCAGAUUGAACGCUGGCGGCAUGCCUUACACAUGCAAGUCGAACGGCAGCAUGAUCUAGCUUGCUAGAUUGAUGGCGAGUGGCGAACGGGUGAGUAAUACAUCGGAACGUGCCCUGUAGUGGGGAGUAACUAGUCGAAGAUUAGCUAAUACCGCAUACGACCUGAGGGUGGAAAGUAGGGGGACCGGCAAGGCCUCAUGCUAUAGGAGCGGCCGAUGUCUGAUUAGCUAGUUGGUGGGGU
rnacentral:rRNA from 1 species